ensembl:lncRNA
CUGAGAUUCUCUUAAACCUGACACUUGACGGUUGGUAUGUGACAUUCCUUAGGCACACUCGCCAGCCCCCAUCCCCUGGGAAGACUGUGGGGGUCAGCUGGCAGGAAUAGGAGGAAGAGAAGGAAGAAAAUCUGAGUAGGAAUAAAGAGAACAAAGUUCAGUUCAGGGAGAAGCCUCUCGAACAGCAGAAAUGGGGAAACAGCCGUGGGGCGGGUGUAAGGGCUGGACCUGCAGGGAUGGGCUGCGGUUUUCUGCAGGAAACUGCCGGGAGCAACUCUGGAAGGCGGGGUCCGCCAGCUUGUGUCAGGUGGCGAACGCUUCAGGGCCAAAACUUCUCGCGACUGUAGGCAGGGACAGAGAGCGCGCUGACUCCAGGAUUCCUGGGAUUUAAGAAGUCCAGGGACCAUCCAGAGGGUCUGGAGCACGUGCCCCUACUCCAGACAGCGCUGCGGGCACCUCGGGCCUCCGGAUGCCCCAAACCAAAGGCUAAGUAAGCGCUCACCCAGGGGGACGGGGCUGACCGAGGAGGGCCCGGCUGGGGGGCGGCCACCAGGCGGCGGGAGGAAAGUCUGCGGAGGCGAUUCCCGCACCCAGGAGAGAACGCUGAAGUGUUGGGAGGUCGGGCCG